GACGAACGCUGGCGGCGUGCUUAACACAUGCAAGUCGAACGGAAAGGCCCUGCUUUUGUGGGGUGCUCGAGUGGCGAACGGGUGAGUAACACGUGAGUAACCUGCCCUUGACUUUGGGAUAACUUCAGGAAACUGGGGCUAAUACCGGAUAGGAGCUCCUGCUGCAUGGUGGGGGUUGGAAAGUUUCGGCGGUUGGGGAUGGACUCGCGGCUUAUCAGCUUGUUGGUGGGGUAGUGGCUUACCAAGGCUUUGACGGGUAGCCGGCCUGAGAGGGUGACCGGCCACAUUGGGACUGAGAUACGGCCAAGACUCCUACGGGAGGCAGCAGUGGGGAAUAUUGCACAAUGGGGAAGCCUGAUGCAGCAACGCCGCGUGCGGGAUGACGGCCUUCGGGUUGUAAACCGCUUUCGCCUGUGACGAAGCGUGAGUGACGGUAAUGGGUAAAGAAGCACCGGCUAACUACGUG
rnacentral:rRNA from 1 species